AGAGUUUGAUCCUGGCUCAGGAUAAACGCUGGCGGCGCACAUAAGACAUGCAAGUCGAACGAACUUAACCAUUAGUUUACUAUUGGAGCGGUUAGUGGCGGACUGGUGAGUAACACGUAAGCAACCUGCCUAUCAGAGGGGAACAACAGUUAGAAAUGACUGCUAAUACCGCAUAUGCCUUAGCAACGCAUGUUGCAAAAGGGAAAGGAGCAAUCCGCUGAUAGAUGGGCUUGCGUCUGAUUAGAUAGUUGGUGGGGUAAAGGCCUACCAAGUCGACGAUCAGUAGCCGGACUGAGAGGUUGAACGGCCACAUUGGGACUGAGAUACGGCCCAGACUCCUACGGGAGGCAGCAGUCGGGAAUAUUGCGCAAUGGAGGAAACUCUGACGCAGUGACGCCGCGUGCAGGAAGAAGGUUUUCGGAUUGUAAACUGCUUUAGACAGGGAAGAUAAUGACAGUACCUGUAAAAUAAGCUCCGGCUAACUACGUG
rnacentral:rRNA from 1 species